GUGCUUGCUUUAGCAGCACAUAUAGUAAAAUUGGAAAGACACAGAGAGGAUUAGCAUGGCCCCUGUGCAAGGAUGACACAAAUUCAUAAAGCAUUUUAUCCAGAUUUU